rnacentral:rRNA from 1 species
GAGUUUGAUCCUGGCUCAGAUUGAACGCUGGCGGCAUGCUUUACACAUGCAAGUCGAACGGUAACAGGCCUUCGGGCGCUGACGAGUGGCGAACGGGUGAGUAAUGCAUCGGAACGUGCCCAGUCGUGGGGGAUAACUGCUCGAAAGAGCAGCUAAUACCGCAUACGAUCUAUGGAUGAAAGCGGGGGACCGUAAGGCCUCGCGCGAUUGGAGCGGCCGAUGUCAGAUUAGGUAGUUGGUGGGGUAAAGGCUCACCAAGCCAACGAUCUGUAGCUGGUCUGAGAGGACGACCAGCCACACUGGGACUGAGACACGGCCCAGACUCCUACGGGAGGCAGCAGUGGGGAAUUUUGGACAAUGGGGGCAACCCUGAUCCAGCAAUGCCGCGUGCAGGAAGAAGGCCUUCGGGUUGUAAACUGCUUUUGUACGGAACGAAACGGUCUGGGUUAAUACCCUGGGCUAAUGACGGUACCGUAAGAAUAAGCACCGGCUAACUACGUGCCAGCAGCCGCGGUAAUACGUAGGGUGCGAGCGUUAAUCGGAAUUACUGGGCGUAAAGCGUGCGCAGGCGGUUUUGUAAGACAGGCGUGAAAUCCCCGGGCUCAACCUGGGAAUGGCGCUUGUGACUGCAAGGCUGGAGUGCGGCAGAGGGGGAUGGAAUUCCGCGUGUAGCAGUGAAAUGCGUAGAUAUGCGGAGGAACACCGAUGGCGAAGGCAAUCCCCUGGGCCUGCACUGACGCUCAUGCACGAAAGCGUGGGGAGCAAACAGGAUUAGAUACCUGGUAGUCACGCCCUAAACGAUGUCAACUGGUUGUGGGUCUUUGCUGACUGGACCCAUACGAGUACGCGUGAAGUGACCGCCUGGGGAGUACGGCCGCAAGGUUGAAACUCAAAGGAUCUGCGGACCCGCACAAGCGGUGGAUGAUGUGGUUUAAUUCGAUGCAACGCGAAAAACCUUACCCACCUUUGACAUGUAGACAAGGAGUGCAGAGAGCUUCGUGCUCGAAAGAGAGCCGUAACACAGGUGCCUGCAUGCCUGUCGUCAGCUCGUGUCGUGAGAUGUUGGGUUAAGUCCCGCAACGAGCGCGGAGCCUUGCCAUUAGUUGCUACGAAAGGGGGGCAGGCUCUCUAUAGGGCUCUCGAGGUCACAACACGGAGGAAGGUGGGGGGGGGGGGGCCAAAUCCUCUUCAGCUGUCAUGUCCUUAUAGGUGGGCUACACACGUCAUACAAAUGGCCGGUACAAAAAGGCAGCCAACCCGCGAGGGGGAGCCAAUCCCCAUAAAGCCGGUCGUAGUCCGGAUCGCAGUCUGCAACUCGACUGCGUGAAGUCGGAAUCGCUAGUAAUCGUGGAUCAGCAUGUCACGGUGAAUACGUUCCCGGGUCUUGUAUUUUUUUAAGAAUCACACCAUGGGAGCGGGUCUCGCCAGAAGUAGUUAGCCUAACCGCAAGGAGGGCGAUUACCACGGCAUCUCGUGACUGGGGUGAAGUCGUAACAAGGUA